AUGACCAAGUGAAGUAUCAGUUUAAUCCAUUAUACCUUGUCUGUCAAGGGACUCACUCCAUCUUGCCCUGCUACUUAAGAGAGGUUGUAGGGUGGGAUUUGGCAAGCCAACAAAACCUUUUCCAUCUUUAACAGCUAUGGGUUUUAUUUAUGACCCAAGUGAAAUGGCAUGAUAAUGAUAAUGAUAAUAAUACCUCGGAUGAAUAAACACCUCAGUCCUAAGGAGUUCAGAGAGCUCUGCUGAUACUUAUCUAAUUAAUCCUCACCACAUGCUUGACCAUUGUUUUUAGACCAACUUCCAACUGAAUUCAAAGGGAGAAAUGGGGCAAUAACUUAUGAAAACUUUUGAACAUCAUCCCCAAAGAACUGAAAGAUGGCAGAUAAAUCUAUACAUCCUAUGACUUGUUUCAUGCUUUUUCUUUAUGCCUCAGAAUUUUGUCACUUUAAAACUACAUGGAGAGGCUUGCCAGUGGUCUGUAGGUAAAGAAUCUGCCUGCCAGUGCAGAGACCAUGGUCUAGGAAGAUUCCACUUGCCUCAGACAACUGAGCCCAUGGCUCACAACUACUGAAGCCCAUGUGCCUGGAGCCUGAGUUCUGCCAGAAGUCACCGCAAUGAGAAGCUCUCGCACUGCAAGGAAGAGUAGAUCCUGCUUGCUCUAAGUAGAGAAAACCUGUGCACAGCACCAAAGACCCAGCACAGCUAAAAAUAAAAUAAAAUAAGUCUUUGUAAAAUAUAAAACUACAAGGAAUAAAACAAUGAUUUUAUCCAUGUUAUUAAAAGAUUAUCAUAAUAAACAAAACAAUCUGGCAGAUGCUACCUGAAGCUUAGAUUUUUUUUUUUAAUCUCAGCUUAAGAAAAGAUGAUCACACAUAUUUAGCUCUGAGAAUCAGAUACAGAAAGUGUCAUCAACCUUUACUCAGCCUUAUAAUGGUCAAUUGAGCAAUCAGUAACCACCACUGGAGCUAGUCAACUGAAUGGUAACAUGAUUCUGACAGCCUUCAAAGCAGUUAGAUUUGACCAAUUGCAAAUAAGAAACCUUUGCAUAUUUUUCUGGAGCUAUUUGUUCUCUCUUUUUGCAGCAAUGAGGAUAUUUCAGUUUUUACUUUGUACAGCUAGUGAAAGUUGUUCAGUUGUGUCAGACUCUUUGUGACCCCAUGGACUGUAG
ensembl:lncRNA